rnacentral:rRNA from 1 species
AGGUAAGCUACUAAGAGCGAAUGGUGGAUGCCUUGACUGGUAAAGGCGAUGAAGGACGUACUAGACUGCGAUAAGCUACGGGGAGCUGUCAAGAAGCUUUGAUCCGUAGAUUUCCGAAUGGGGCAACCCAAUGUAUAGAGAUAUACAUUACCUAUAUAGGAGCGAACGAGGGGAAUUGAAACAUCUUAGUACCCUCAGGAAAAGAAAUCAAUAGAGAUUGCGUCAGUAGCGGCGAGCGAAAGCGCAAGAGGGCAAACCCAGUGCUUGCACUGGGGGUUGUAGGACUGCAAUGUGCAAGAGCUGAGUUUAGCAGAACAUUCUGGAAAGUAUAGCCAUAGAGGGUGAUAGUCCCGUAUGCGAAAAACAAAGCUUAGCUAGCAGUAUCCUGAGUAGGGCGGGACACGAGGAAUCCUGUCUGAAUCCGGGUCGACCACGAUCCAACCCUAAAUACUAAUACCAGAUCGAUAGUGCACAAGUACCGUGAGGGAAAGGUGAAAAGAACUGAGGUGAUCAGAGUGAAAUAGAACCUGAAACCAUUUGCUUACAAUCAUUCAGAGCACUAUGUAGCAAUACAGUGUGAUGGACUGCCUUUUGCAUAAUGAGCCUGCGAGUUGUGGUGUCUGGCAAGGUUAAGCAAACGCGAAGCCGUAGCGAAAGCGAGUCUGAAUAGGGCGCUUAGUCAGAUGCUGCAGACCCGAAACGAAGUGAUCUAUCCAUGAGCAAGUUGAAGCUAGUGUAAGAACUAGUGGAGGACUGAACCCAUAGGCGUUGAAAAGCCCCGGGAUGACUUGUGGAUAGGGGUGAAAGGCCAAUCAAACUUCGUGAUAGCUGGUUCUCUCCGAAAUAUAUUUAGGUAUAGCGUUGUGUCGUAAUAUAAGGGGGUAGAGCACUGAAUGGGCUAGGGCAUACACCAAUGUACCAAACCCUAUCAAACUCCGAAUACCUUAUAUGUAAUCACAGCAGUCAGGCGGCGAGUGAUAAAAUCCGUCGUCAAGAGGGAAACAACCCAGACUACCAGCUAAGGUCCCUAAAUCUUACUUAAGUGGAAAACGAUGUGAAGUUACUUAAACAACCAGGAGGUUGGCUUAGAAGCAGCCAUCCUUUAAAGAAAGCGUAAUAGCUCACUGGUCUAGUGAUUUUGCGCGGAAAAUAUAACGGGGCUAAAGUAAGUACCGAAGCUGUAGACUUGCACACAACUUAGAUUAUUUAAGUUUAGAAUAGGUAGUUUAAGUUGUGUGCAAGUGGUAGGAGAGCGUUCUAUUUGCGUCGAAGGUAUACCGGUAAGGAGUGCUGGAGUGAAUAGAAGUGAGCAUGCAGGCAUGAGUAGCGAUAAUUAAUGUGAGAAUCAUUAACGCCGUAAACCCAAGGUUUCCUACGCGAUGCUCGUCAUCGUAGGGUUAGUCGGGUCCUAAGUCGAGUCCGAAAGGGGUAGACGAUGGCAAAUUGGUUAAUAUUCCAAUACCAACAUUAGUGUGCGAUGGAAGGACGCUUAGGGCUAAGGGGGCUAGCGGAUGGAAGUGCUAGUCUAAGGUCGUAGGAGGUUAUACAGGCAAAUCCGUAUAACAAUACUCCGAGAACUGAAAGGCUUUUUGAAGUCUUCGGAUGGAUAGAAGAACCCCUGAUGCCGUCGAGCCAAGAAAAGUUUCUAAGUUUAGCUAAUGUUGCCCGUACCGUAAACCGACACAGGUGGGUGGGAUGAGUAUUCUAAGGCGCGUGGAAGAACUCUCUUUAAGGAACUCUGCAAAAUAGCACCGUAUCUUCGGUAUAAGGUGUGGUUAGCUUCGUACUAGGAUUUACUCCGAAAGCGAAGAAACUUACAACAAAGAGUCCCUCCCGACUGUUUACCAAAAACACAGCACUCUGCUAACUCGUAAGAGGAUGUAUAGGGUGUGACGCCUGCCCGGUGCUCGAAGGUUAAUUGAUGGGGUUAGCAUUAGCGAAGCUCUUGAUCGAAGCCCGAGUAAACGGCGGCCGUAACUAUAACGGUCCUAAGGUAGCGAAAUUCCUUGUCGGUUAAAUACCGACCUGCAUGAAUGGCGUAACGAGAUGGGAGCUGUCUCAAAGAGGGAUCCAGUGAAAUUGUAGUGGAGGUGAAAAUUCCUCCUACCCGCGGCAAGACGGAAAGACCCCGUGGACCUUUACUACAGCUUGACACUGCUACUUGGAUAAGAAUGUGCAGGAUAGGUGGGAGGCUUUGAGUAUAUGACGCCAGUUGUAUAUGAGCCAUUGUUGAGAUACCACUCUUUCUUAUUUGGGUAGCUAACCAGCUUGAGUUAUCCUCAAGUGGGACAAUGUCUGGUGGGUAGUUUGACUGGGGCGGUCGCCUCCCAAAUAAUAACGGAGGCUUACAAAGGUUGGCUCAGAACGGUUGGAAAUCGUUCGUAGAGUAUAAAGGUAUAAGCCAGCUUAACUGCAAGACAUACAAGUCAAGCAGAGACGAAAGUCGGUCUUAGUGAUCCGGUGGUUCUGUGUGGAAGGGCCAUCGCUCAAAGGAUAAAAGGUACCCCGGGGAUAACAGGCUGAUCUCCCCCAAGAGCUCACAUCGACGGGGAGGUUUGGCACCUCGAUGUCGGCUCAUCGCAUCCUGGGGCUGGAGCAGGUCCCAAGGGUAUGGCUGUUCGCCAUUUAAAGCGGUACGCGAGCUGGGUUCAGAACGUCGUGAGACAGUUCGGUCCCUAUCUGCCGUGGGCGUAAGAAGAUUGAAGAGAUUUGACCCUAGUACGAGAGGACCGGGUUGAACAAACCACUGGUGUAGCUGUUGUUCUGCCAAGAGCAUCGCAGCGUAGCUAAGUUUGGAAAGGAUAAACGCUGAAAGCAUCUAAGCGUGAAGCCAACUCUAAGAUGAAUCUUCUCUAAGCUCUCUAGAAGACUACUAGUUUGAUAGGCUGGGUGUGUAAUGGAUGAAAGUCCUUUAGCUGACCAGUACUAAUAGAGCGUUUGGCUUAUCUUU